rnacentral:rRNA from 1 species
UACGUAGGGGUCUAGCGUUGUCCGGAAUCAUUGGGCGUAAAGAGCUCGUAGGCGGUUCGGCAAGUCGGAUGUGAAAUCUCCACGCUCAACGUGGAGGGGCCAUUCGAAACUGCCGUGACUUGAGUCCGGUAGGGGAGUGCGGAAUUCCCGGUGUAGCGGUGAAAUGCGCAGAUAUCGGGAGGAACACCAGUGGCGAAGGCGGCACUCUGGGCCGGAAUUGACGCUGAGGAGCGAAAGCGUGGGGAGCGAACAGG